rnacentral:tRNA from 1 species
GGGAAGUUAGCUUAGUGGUAAAGCUACUGCCUUACAAGCAGAAGAUCAUUGGUUCAAUUCCAAUACUACCUA